UACGAGGGGAGCAAGCGUUGUUCGGAUUUACUGGGCGUAAAGGGCGCGUAGGCGGCGUGACAAGUCACUUGUGAAAUCUCCGGGCUUAACUCGGAACGGUCAAGUGAUACUGUCGUGCUAGAGUACAGAAGGGGCAACUGGAAUUCUCGGUGUAGCGGUGAAAUGCGUAGAUAUCAGGAGGAACACCGAUGGCGAAGGCAGGUCUCUGGGCCACUACUGACGCUGAGAAGCGAAAGCAUGGGGAGCGAACAGG
rnacentral:rRNA from 1 species